GGAAGGUGCUACGCUAUUGU
rnacentral:miRNA from 1 species